AUUGGAGUCUGNAACCCGACUCCAUGAAGCUGGAUUCGCUAGUAAUCGCGCAUCAGCCACGGCGCGGUGAAUACGUUCCCGGGCCCUUGUACACACCGCCCGUCAAGCCAUGGAAGCCGGGAGUGCCUGAAGUACGCGACCGCAAAAGGAGCGUCCUAAGGUAAAACCGGUGACUGGGGCUAAGUCGUAACAAGGUAUC
rnacentral:rRNA from 1 species